AAGCCACAGCAAGGGGCUGGCACUCACCUGAACGCAGAACCGCAGUGGACAGACCAUCUUGUGACCCUGGACACCCUGAUCUCUUCUAGUGAUGCUAGAAUUGGCUAGUGAAGUUUCUUGGAUCUGGACUUCUCGUUAUGGAAAAAAAAUGUUGCUGUCUGUUCUGCCAAGAUCUUCUCCUAAGUAUAAAAGACACACGUGUUAUACCAGAAACCAAAUGACACACCCUGGUAAGAGCAAUCCCGUGUUUAUUUCAAAUGGAAAAGGAGCACAAAGACCAGGAGGAAUGACGGUAGUGAGGGGUCACCUCCAUGCUGCCAUCUAAGCUCUAGAACACAGUAUACUUGAGGAUCUGCACGAUCCCCUCAGAAAGGCUUCUCCCAACAUUGACCUACACUUAUCUCUGGUCAGUGGGCUAGAAGGGAGGUUGGAGUGUUCCAGAACCCUAAAUAAAGCAGGUUUAGAGAAAAAUCUAAGCCUACAUCCGGCUCCAGGACAUGUGCGUGGGGAGUCACUAGGUACUCGUGUGGUUAUGAUCAAUGUGCCUGACAAAAUAAACUCGAGGAAGGAAAGAAAGGUUCGUUCCAGUUCAUGGUGCAGCCCACAUUCAAGGUGGGUCUUCCUUCCUCAAUAACGAGUUCUCCAGAAACACCUUCACAGACACACCCAGAGGUGUCGCCAGAUCCCUCCCAUCAAGUAGACCAUCAAGAUUAGCCAUGACUCUCUCCUCCAUUUUUUGGUGCCAUUCAAGCAGGCACAACCACUGUGGAAAUCAAUCUGGUGGUUCCUCAGAAAAUUGGACAUAGUACUACCUGAGGACGCAGCUAUACCACUCCUGGGCAUAUAUCCAGAAGAUGUUCCAACAUAUAACAAGGACAUAUGUUCUACUAUGUUCAUAGCAGCCUUACUUAUUAUACUAGCCAGAAGCUGGAAAGAACCCAGAUGUCCUCAACAGAGGAAUGGAUAAAGAAAAUGUGUUACAAUUAUACAAUGGAGUACUACUCAGUUAUUAAAAACAAUGAAUUCAUGAAAUUCUUAAGCAAAUGGAUCAAAUUAGAAAAUACCAUCCUGAGUGAGGUAACCCAGUCACAAAAGAGCACACAUGGUAUGCACUCACCGAUAAGUAGAUAUUAGCCCAAAGGCUCAGAAUACCCAAGAUACAAUUCACAGACCACAUGAAGCUCAAGAAGGAAGACCAAAUCUAAGUGAAAUAAAUACCU
rnacentral:lncRNA from 1 species